rnacentral:rRNA from 1 species
AGUGAACGCUGGCGGCAGGCCUAACACAUGCAAGUCGAGCGGCAGCGGGUCCCCGCGAGGGGAUGCCGGCGAGCGGCGGACGGGUGAGGAACACAUCGGAAUCUGCCUGGUUGUGGGGGAUAACGUAGGGAAACUUACGCUAAUACCGCAUGCGACCCUGAGUCGACGGACUUGGGGUGAAAGUGAGGGACCUUCGGGCCGUCACGCGACCAGAUGAGCCGAUGUCGGAUUAGCUAGUUGGCGGGGUAACGGCCCGCCAAGGCGACGAUCCGUAGCUGGUCUGAGAGGAUGAUCAGCCACACUGGGACUGAGACACGGCCCAGACUCCUACGGGAGGCAGCAGUGGGGAAUCUUGGAC